UCAAGAGAUUCUCUAUUGCCUCAGCCUCCUGAGUAGCUGGGACUACAGGCACCUGCCACUACACCCAGCUAAAUUUUGUAUUUUUAGCAGAGACAGGUUUCACCAUGUUGGCCAGGCUGGUCUCGAACUCCUGACCUCAAGUAAUCCACCUGCCUCAGCCUCCCAAAGUGCUGGGAUUACAGGUGUGAACCGUCACACCCAGCCCUCUAGUAAAAUUCUUUAAGUGAAAUUUAACAUAAGAUGGAAUGAUAAAUGCCCAGGGGAAAGACACCAAACCUAUAUGCCAGACCCAGUGCUAAACACUUUACCUGGAACCAUCUAGUAUAAUCAUGAUUAUAACAACCCUACAAGGCAGGUGCCACGAUCAUUCUUAUUUACAGAUGAGAGAACUGAGGCAGAGCAAGGAUAAGCACAUCUGAUUCUGCUACAAUGCACGUUUGUUCCAACAUGGUUGAUGUGUGUUAUGAGCCACGCCAUCCUCAACUGGUGCUACAACUUUCCCUAGGAUUCCAGAUAACCAGCUCCUGCCACUUCACAGUAGCUGGCAAGUUGCAACCCUUUCCACCUCACUUCCAUAGGCAAACCCUAGGUCUUUUUCCAGGCGGAGUGCCAUAUUUAUUGUUGUAUUUAUGUUAUUUUUUAGCAAUUUAUCAAGUGUAAAGUUGUCUACUGGUUUUUUUUUAGUGUCAAAUUAAAUUUGGCCUAAAGCUGUCUCCAUAUCUUGAGUCCAUAUGUAUCAAAACGCAACCUAACUUACAAGUAUAUUCUUGUGACAAAUAGCUGAGUCUCAGCCCAUCAUAGCGGCUGAGCUUCAGCCAAUUACAGGCUGCCAAAUGAUCACACCAUGUCAAAUAAGGCAAACUACCAAACUAUAACAAAUCAGGCUAUUGUUACACCUCACUUCCUUACUCUGUCUAUAAAUACUGACUGCCCCCCACAUGGCUGCAUGAAGCCUUCUCAAGCUCUCCUGUGUAACAAGUCAAAUCCCUUGCUCACCAAGAAGUAACACUCAUUGUCUAGUAAAAUUACUUAAGUCAAAUUUUGGGGGCUUCCCAAUUCAUGAAUCAUUCUUUGCUGAAAUAAACUCUACUAAAUUUAAUUUAUCUAAACUUUUUCUUUUAACAUUAGGUUUCUAUCUUUUUUUUUUUAACAUGUCAUUGAAAAAGUGGUUUUGUGUUGUGCCCUGAGCCCCAUUUUCCUCAUAAGCUCUGUGGUUUGUAUUGCCCAAUUUAGCAUAAUGCAGUGAUUUUAUGGAACAUACAUGUUGUGUUAAAGAAUAGCUAUUUGCCAAGGUUACGUGGCUAGGUAGUGGCCCAGCAGGGAUUCAAACAAAACUUGCUAGGGAACCCAGCCUAGCUUCUUAAUCUCUGUAUCUUCCUGCAUUGGUACACAUGUUCUCUUUUAAUCUUCACAGCAUCCUUAAGAGGUCUUAUUAUUCCUAUUACACAGUUGAAGAAAUUGGGAUUCAGAAAUUACUACUAAAAGCUUCAAUGGAAUUAACCAAACAUGGUAACUGAAAUUUACAGUCAAGUCUGUUUACUUCUGAAGCACUUACCCAAACCAGGACUUCAGCAGUCUGUAUAAAUAGUAAGGGUUUGUGCUAAAGGGAUAAUGCCACAGGUCUACGCAUAUCUUCAUUGACAGUUACCAAUUCAGCUCUUCUUGACUGGGUAAAGAAUGAGUCCUCGACAUCUAGAGCCAUUAUCUGAACUAUUUAUCCAUUCCCUUGCUUCUUUGCUGUUGCUUUUGUUCAUUCAUCCUGUCCUUCAUCAAGUAUUGAGUCCACAGAUAUCAUAUACCUAACGUUUAGAUCUUAAGUAUUGCUUUAGAGUUGCCUUCUAUAAUUCAUGCCCCACCCGAUCAAGUAGAAGGUUCUUUUAUUAAUAGCACCCUUUGUCUCCCUUCCCCAGUACUUACCACUAGCAAUGAUGGUAUGAUUAUUUGUAAAGAGUUCUUGAUGAUCUUCCCCACUGUGAUGGUACAUUCAACGAGAACAGAACACGUCAGCAUCCAGUGCCAUAACCUGACAAAUAGUAGCUGCUCAAUAAAUCCUUGACUGUUUUACCAAUGACCUUAGAUCUGGCACUGAUAGAAAAAGAAGCCCACAGAACAUCUUCAACCUAGACAAGUGCCUCUUCAACAAAUAAAGUUUUAAAGGUUAUUGAAAUUCUUGAGCUAGAAGGAUAUAUCCCUGCAGUGAGUUCAAGGAAGGACUGUAAAGAAAAAGUAGCUGACAGACAGAAAACUGAUCCACAACAACUUCUAUAAACGGACCAUGAAAUAAUCAGGUUCCUUGGUCUUUUAUUUGUUUCUGGAUGGAGUCCCAGGCAGGGAAGAUAACCUUCACCUCAGAACAAUGUGGCGCAUCAUCUGUAAAUGUAAUGAGAUGAUGAAUUAUUCCAAUGUCAUUAUGCUCAUGAUUUAUGGGGAGACAUUAUCUGCUAAAAGCCCAGGCUGAAGGAAUAUUGAUUUCACUUUUACUGAGACAGCCAUUUAAAACUUUUUAAAGACAGCAAAUGAUUGCUUAAAAGACCAACUUCAAAAAGGCCACUUUCAAACUGUUCGGUGGGGAGUGGUGGGGAAGCGGAAAUGGUGAUGCAGCUCCUUUAAGACCCAGCUGAGCAAAGUUAGGUCCUCCUGCUCUAUAUUCUCCAGCAACACCUUGUACUUCUUCUUUGCAGCACUUGGCUGCAUGCACAGGAUUUAAUACCAGAUUAUUCUUUAGAAACCUUACAUGUUCAAAGCUGAAUUCUAUUUUGUCUGGGGAAAUCAUUUUCUGUCCUUUAUCCCAAUUUACUUUGAAAUCCAGGCCAGGUGCAGUGGCUCACACCUGUAAUCCCAGCACUUUGGGAGGCUGAGGCAGGUGGAUCACCUGAGGUCAGGAGUUUGAGACCAGUCUUGCCAACAUGUUGAAACCCCGUCUCUACUAAAACUACAAAAAUUAGCCAGGCGUGAUGGCGGGCACCUGUAAUCCCAGCUACUCGGGAGGCUGACGUAGGAGAAUCGCUUGAACCUGGGAUGCAGAGGUUGCAGUGAGCCAAGAUUGCAUCUCUGCAUUCCAGCCUGGGUGACAGAGUAAAACUCCAUCUCAAAAAAAAAAAGAGAGAGAGAGAGAGAGAAAUCCAGAGGCAGCAGGUUGGUGCUAUUUGGUAGUAGUAGUGGUGGUGAUAGAGAAUUCUUUCUCACUUAGAUGAAAUAACACUAUUUUCUAAAUCACAUACUCUUAUGCUGAUAACCAAUUAGGCUUCCCCUAGAAUACAGAAAGACCGUACAUAGUGAAUUUUUUAAAAGGGAGAAAUGACAAUAUGGAACAGGGUGGUAGAUUUGGAUCCAUGCUAGUGAACUGGAAGAAAUAUUUUUUCUGUAGCAUUUUAUACUCUACGGCUUGGUUUUCUAACACACAAAAGGAUGGAUGGAAAUUAAUAUGUCAGGCACUUAGUAACCAUAUUUAUUUAAUCCUCCCAACAAGUUUUCAGAAUAGCACUGAUUGUCUUGUUUCAUAGAUAAGGAAACUGAGGCCUGGGGAUGGUAAGUCCAAGUUUAUAAUAAUGGUUGGCAGUACCUGAAUUUGAACCAAUGGCUCCUAUUUCUUUUUUCUUUCUUUCUUUCUCUCUUUUUUUUUUUUUUUUUUUUUUU
rnacentral:lncRNA from 1 species